rnacentral:tRNA from 1 species
ACCUGGCUGGCUCUGUUGGAAUAGCAUGAGACUCUUCAUCUCAGGGUUGUGAGUUCGAACCCCACGCUGGGUG